rnacentral:lncRNA from 1 species
GACCCAAUUGGAUUAAACUAGAACCAUUAAUUAGUCUUCUUCUUCGUCGAUUAAGAAGACCAUAGUCAGCCGGAGUUGAAUAAAUGGCCAGAAUCCGGUCAAAGUUCUUCAGAUCUGGGUCCUCAUGUGGCGUCUCUAGCUAAGCCCGAUUCACAAUCGUUGGCAAGUUUAUCCCCAUGUUCGAUUGAGAAAUACAGUCUUCUUCA